rnacentral:rRNA from 1 species
UACGUAGGGUGCAAGCGUUGUCCGGAAUUAUUGGGCGUAAAGAGCUCGUAGGCGGCUUGUCGCGUCGGCUGUGAAAACCUGGGCGCUCAACCCCGGGCCUGCAGCCGAUACGGGCAAGCUAGAAUUCGGUAGGGGAGACUGGAAUUCCUGGGUGUAGCGGUGAAAUGCGCAGAUAUCAGGAGGAACACCGGUGGCGAAGGCGGGUCUCUG